UGAGGAAUAUUGGGCAAUGCCCGCAAGGGUGACCCAGCAACGCCGCGUGGAGGAUGAAUGUCGUAAGAUUGUAAACUCCUGUUAGAGGGGAAGAAUAGUACCGGUUGGACCGGUAUAUGACUGUACCCUCAGAGAAAGCCCCGGCUAACUACGUGCCAGCAGCCGCGGUAAUACGUAGGGGGCAAGCGUUGUCCGGAUUUACUGGGUGUAAAGGGCGCGCAGGCGGGAUAAAAAGUCAGUGGUGAAAUCCUACAGCUUAACUGUAGAACUGCCUUUGAUACUUUUAGUCUUGAGUUCGGGAGAGAGAGACGGAAUUCCAGGUGUAGUGGUGAAAUACGUAGAUAUCUGGAAGAACACCAGUUGCGAAGGCGGUCUCUUGGUCCGACACUGACGCUGAGGCGCGAAAGCGUGGUGAGCAAACA
rnacentral:rRNA from 1 species